GGGACAUAUGGAUGGAAAGAAAACAGGACGCCCAGUUCAUAAACUUCAUUUCCUGGGUACCUUUCAAGCAGAGGAAAAAUCAGUGAGAGACAGUUAUGUGCUCCUGGACAUAAAGGCCUAAAGGCACCCUGUGGGAGUGACACUAGACAAAGGAGCUCAUAUGAUCAAGAUGAAGGGAGAAGGCCGGACGAUGAGAGGGGAGUGAACCCUGGGCGUAAUGGUUCCACACCAAGAGAAGUUCUGAAGGUCAAGGUCCAGAAGCCAAGAUUCAGCUGGGCAGGCUGCAUCUCUACAAGGCAGCCUCAGAUGUUCAUUGUCAAAUGGAUGAACUGGGAAGAGAGAGAGAGAGAUGAGGGGUCGUUGUCCUUCCAUGUCCCUUCCAGCCUCAGCCUCAGGAGUGGCCCCAGUUUGCUGAUAUCACAGGAGAUCUGCUAUUUGAUCAUUUUGCCUGCCAACUUGGAUGUCUGUCUCAGCAGGAAACCAUUUAAAGAAAAUAAAUGAAUUCUCAGCACUUGACAUUUUCUGGAGGACCUGAGUCCUUUCCAAGUGAGCUCAUAUCAAGCACAGUUGGUAAGACAGAGACGGGAAAAUGUGCUUUCUCCCUGUUAAGAGGACAGCCUCGCUGAAGCAUCUUGGGCAGGGCAGUAUUAAGUGACUUUUCCUUGUUGAUGAGGGGUCUUCUCACUUUUGGGAGAGAGGUGACCCUCCACCAUGGAGGGGCUGCAGGAAGUGGAAGCAGGUUCCAUAGCUGGGGGGUGUUAAAAGUGAGCUGAAGGAGAAGUAGCAUGGAAUUCCUCCUCAUUUUCUCUCCCGAGUCCACCCUGCCUCCUCCUUCCCAACAGCUUGUUUAUUACAGCAUGGUGACUUGGGGCAACGUGAUUAUAUGAGAUGGUUUUUUUCUCCCUUCUCUGUCCUCCUUCCUGGGCACAGUGUAUAUAGUAUGAGAGCUACUGUAAUGAAAGGUGCACAGGCCCUUUUAGGAAAGUGAUUGCGGGUGAGGCCAACUCAGCCAGGAAAAUCUCCUGUUGCUUCCUAGGAUGGGUCACGGGAAAAGGAGAGGGACUUUAAAACAUGGAUACUUCAGACCUGGCUGCACACUGGACUCACCAAGGGGAUUAAAGAAAAACAAUGCUUGGGCCUCACCUCCAGAGAUUCAGAUUUAAUUGAUCUGGGGAGUGGCUGGGGUAUCAGGAUUUUUAAAUCUCCCCAGGUGAUGCUAACAUGCAGCCAGAUGUAAAGAUGGUAGGUUUAGAGGGAGAGAAUGCAAUGGUUUUCACUGUUGUACUGCAGGGUGACGAUAUGGGGCAGGGCAGGAGCCUAUUCCAGCUCCUACACCUGUGGACACUUGCGUUAGAGGUGUCCACACUUCUACCUUGAAGCUGCAGCACUGGAAUACUUCCUCCACACUGCUGGUGCUCUGGAGCCUUUGACUAGCCAGGGGGCCGCUGAGUAACAAACCUUCCCACUGUCUCCUUCCACCAUGGACCAGGGGCAGCCAUCACACUUCCUCAUGUUUUUCAGUGACAUUACUUAUCAUUUACCUUAAAGUAAAUGACAAAUAAAGGUGGGCCUAGG
rnacentral:lncRNA from 1 species